rnacentral:tRNA from 1 species
GCCUGGGUGGCUCAGUCGGUUGAGCAUCCGACUUCAGCUCAGGUCAUGAUCUCGCAGUUCGUGGGUUCGAGCCCCACGUCGGCCU